GGCUUUAUUUUACCCUUUGGGGUAUCUAGUGAGUUGGUGGGAGAGGAGCAAGUUGUGAUAUUAACACUGAAGGGAGAUAAAUAUUUUAGAUGGCUAUAUCCUAGAUCCGAAUUCCUUGUCUGUUUCCAUUGCUUUUGUUUUUUUAAUACAUCGGGAAAUUGCACAUUGAAAAUUUUGGGUACAUUGACAAUCUUGUCUUCUUUAUAUUUACUUGACAUUCUGCUCUUCCAAAUUGGUUAUGGGAUCUAAUUUUGAAGGGCUUUUAAGGUAGAUGUGGGUUUGGGUUGGCAGGAUAAUGGGUUGGCAGGAUAAUGGGUUUUAAAAUGCUAACUGUUGAGUUGUAAAAUGACAUCAAUCUU
rnacentral:misc_RNA from 1 species